GACCCGUAUGAACGGCCACAUGAGAAAGAAACUGUCUCUUGAAGAUAGCCAAUGAAACUGAUCUGCUUGUUAAAAAGCAAGUAUAACCAAGCUAGACAAAAAGACCCUGUGAAACUUAAAACUAAGCAUUAAACAAAUAAUGCCUAACUUUUAGUUGGGGCAACUUAAGAAAUACUAAACAUCUUAAAUACCUUAGACCAACAAGUUGAAGCCACGAAACAAAAGAUCCGGCACGGCCGACUAACGAACCAAGCUACUCCAGGGAUAACAGCGCCAAAUUCUUUAAGAGUCCACAUCAACAAGAAUUCUUACGACCUCGAUGUUGGAUCAGGGUGCCCAAACAGUGCAGAAGCUGUUAACGGUUCGUUUGUUCAACGACUAAGACCCU
rnacentral:rRNA from 1 species